rnacentral:rRNA from 1 species
GACGAACGCUGGCGGCGUGCUUAACACAUGCAAGUCGAACGGAAAGGCCCUGCUUUUGUGGGGUGCUCGAGUGGCGAACGGGUGAGUAACACGUGAGUAACCUGCCCUUGACUUUGGGAUAACUUCAGGAAACUGGGGCUAAUACCGGAUAGGAGCUCCUGCUGCAUGGUGGGGGUUGGAAAGUUUCGGCGGUUGGGGAUGGACUCGCGGCUUAUCAGCUUGUUGGUGGGGUAGUGGCUUACCAAGGCUUUGACGGGUAGCCGGCCUGAGAGGGUGACCGGCCACAUUGGGACUGAGAUACGGCCCAGACUCCUACGGGAGGCAGCAGUGGGGAAUAUUGCACAAUGGGCGGAAGCCUGAUGCAGCAACGCCGCGUGCGGGAUGACGGCCUUCGGGUUGUAAACCGCUUUCGCCUGUGACGAAGCGUGAGUGACGGUAAUGGGUAAAGAAGCACCGGCUAACUACGUGCCAGCAGCCGCGGUGAUACGUACGGUGCGAGCGUUGUCCGGAUUUAUUGGGCGUAAAGGGCUCGUAGGGGGUUGAUCGCGUCGGAAGUGUAAUCUUGGGGCUUAACCCUGAGCGUGCUUUCGAUACGGGUUGACUUGAGGAAGGUAGGGGAGAAUGGAAUUCCUGGUGGAGCGGUGGAAUGCGCAGAUAUCAGGAGGAACACCAGUGGCGAAGGCGGUUCUCUGGGCCUUUCCUGACGCUGAGGAGCGAAAGCGUGGGGAGCGAACAGGCUUAGAUACCCUGGUAGUCCACGCUGUAAACGGUGGGUACUAGGUGUGGGGUCCAUUCCACGGGUUCCGUGCCGUAGCUAACGCUUUAAGUACCCCGCCUGGGGAGUACGGCCGCAAGGCUAAAGCUCAAAGGAAUUGACGGGGCCCCGCACAAGCGGCGGAGCAUGCGGAUUAAUUCGAUGCAACGCGUAGAACCUUACCUGGGUUUGACAUGGAUCGGGAGCGCUCAGAGAUGGGUGUGCCUCUUUUGGGGUCGGUUCACAGGUGGUGCAUGGCUGUCGUCAGCUCGUGUCGUGAGAUGUUGGGUUAAGUCCCGCAACGAGCGCAACCCUUGUUCACUGUUGCCAGCACGUUAUGGUGGGGACUCAGUGGAGACCGCCGGGGUCAACUCGGAGGAAGGUGGGGAUGACGUCAAGUCAUCAUGCCCCUUAUGUCCAGGGCUUCACGCAUGCUACAAUGGCUGGUACAGAGAGUGGCGAGCCUGUGAGGGUGAGCGAAUCUCGGAAAGCCGGUCUCAGUUCGGAUUGGGGUCUGCAACUCGACCUCAUGAAGUCGGAGUCGCUAGUAAUCGCAGAUCAGCAACGCUGCGGUGAAUACGUUCCCGGG